rnacentral:rRNA from 1 species
GACGAACGCUGGCGGCGUGCUUAACACAUGCAAGUCGAACGGUGAAGCACCUUCCUUUUGGUGGGUGUGGAUGAGUGGCGAACGGGUGAGUAACACGUGAGUAACCUGCCCCCUUCUUCUGGAUAACCGCAUGAAAGUGUGGCUAAUACGGGAUAUUCUGUGCCUGCUGCAUGGUGGGUGUGGGAAAGAUGCGCUUUUGGGUGUUUUUGGUGGGGGAUGGGCUCGCGGCGUAUCAGGUUGUGGGUGGGGUGAUGGCCUACCAGGGCGGUGACGGGUAGCCGGUCUGAGGGGGGGGACGGUGACCCGGGGACUGGGACACUGCCCAGAGUGCUACGGGCGGCAGCAGUGGGGAAGAUUGCACAAUGGGCUAAAGCCUGAUGCAGCGACGCCGCGUGAGGUAUGGAGGCCUUCGGGUUGUAAACCUCUUGCGCCAGUGAAGCAGGCCUGUCCCUUGUGGGUGGGUUGACGGUAGCGGGAUAAGAAGCGCCGGCUAACUACGUG